rnacentral:rRNA from 1 species
UACAGAGGGUGCAAGCGUUGUUCGGAAUUAAUGGGCGUAAAGCGCGCGCAGGCGGGCGUGCAAGUCGGAAGUGAAAUUCCGGGGCUCAACCCCGGAGCUGCUCCCGAAACUGCACGUCUGGAGACCGGUAGAGGCUGGUGGAAUUCCCGGUGUAGCGGUGAAAUGCGUAGAGCUCGGGGAGAACAUCGGUGGCGAAAGCGCUCUACUGGACUGCAACUGACACUCAGGGACGAAAGCUAGGGGAGCGAAUGGG